AGCAGGCACUAAAAAGCAAUGCUUUCUACUGACAGCAUUUCCCCCAAAUACCCCAUUUUUAGCUAUUUUAUCAUUUUAUUUGAAUAGGUUAGAUUUGGUGUAGAAAACAACUUGAAAGAUGGCUUAAUUCUUAAAAGUAGAAUGCUUUAAAUCUUAUCAUGGAUGAAGGGCAACAGAGGUUUUGUUAUGACUGUGGUUCUCUCACUCCCCGGCUCCCUCAUUUGAAAAAGAUGACCACAGGCCACUCGGCAGUUGUAUUUGAUGAUAGUCACGAACCCUUUGGGACCUAGCGAUUUUUUCUUAUCCUGAGUUCUUCCUCUAAGUAUAUAGAUUUUGAUACAUGAAACACUUUGGAAACUACACUAAUGUCUGGUUAUUCCAGAGAGCUUAUGUUUCAAUGGCUGACUAUCAUCCAACCAUUAAUUAUAAAAAUAGGAAUUUAAGGUCAUGUUGUAGGAAAAUAUUGAUUAAUGGCAUUUUUUUAAAAACAUAUAUGAUCUGCCUGCCUGGGUUAUUUUACACCCAGGAUAUUUUCAGUUAUUGAAGUCAUGGAACAAGUAUAUUUGGGGGGUAUUGAGUUCUUCCCUAAAAAUCUAAAUCUAUUCUAAAGCUUUCUACCAGUGAUCACAGAGGUUCCCCGAACAGCUGGGACACUUUGGAAGAAGAAGCUUUGCUAUCAUCACAGGGCUUGGUCAAAUCACAGUCAUUGCUUUCCAAUUAGCAGAGUGUAAGGGAAAAGGCGUAAAAAGCAAAGCGAGGGUUUACAGUCUGCAGUGAUGCAUCUUUCUCUCCCCG
rnacentral:lncRNA from 1 species